rnacentral:misc_RNA from 1 species
GUUUCCGUAGGUGAACCUGCGGAAGGAUCAUUACUGAGUGAGGGCCCUCUGGGUCCAACCUCCCACCCGUGUUUAUUGUACCUUGUUGCUUCGGUGAGCCCGCCUCACGGCGGCCGGGGGGCAUCUGCCCCCGGGCCCGCGCUCGCCGAAGAAACCCUUGAACUCUGUCUGAAGUUUGCAGUCUGAGCGAAAACUAAAUAAGCUAAAACUUUCAACAACGGAUCUCUUGGUUCCG